rnacentral:rRNA from 1 species
GACGUAGGGCGCGAGCGUUGUCCGGAUUUAUUGGGCGUAAAGAGCUCGUAGGCGGCUUGUUGCGUCGACCGUGAAAACCCGUGGCUUAACUGCGGGCUUGCGGUCGAUACGGGCGGGCUGGAGUUCGGUAGGGGAGACUGGAAUUCCUGGUGUAGCGGUGAAAUGCGCAGAUAUCAGGAGGAACACCGGUGGCGAAGGCGGGUCUCUGGGCCGAUACUGACGCUGAGACGCGAAAGCGUGGGGAGCAAACAGG